ACGCACGUACGAGCGAGGCCGCCCGCCCUCGAGCGAGAACCACUCGCACGCACGACUCGCUCAGCAAAUCGUGCGCCGCCGCCCUCCAUCCUUCGCCACCGCCGAUCCAUCCCUUCGCCGCCGCCGCUCCAUCCCUUCGCCGCCGACCUCGCACAUCAAAGCCGCCGCCGCUCCAUCCCUUCGCCGCCGCCGCUCCAUCCCUUCGCCGCCGCCCUCGCACAUCGAAGCCGCCGCCCACGAUCCACUUCAGGAGACGCCGUCGAUCCCGUUGAGGACCUGCUGCCCAUCAUGUCGAGGAUCCGAAGACGAUCCCCUUUAGGAGCCUUGCCGAUCCUUCUCCACACGCCACCGCCUCCCUUGCGAAGACGCCUUGCCAUGGAUCUCAAUCGGCGUUACGACGGCCGUGGCCUCCCCACCCGCCGACGUUCCAGAUCCGGCCAUCGUUGACCCCCUCCACAUCAGUGAUUGGUCAAGGUAGGGGUGUGUGGCUCUAUCCAUCUUCCUGCGUGUACGGCGUCUGUGUAUCCCGGCAAGGGUGCUUGUGAGAUCGGGAGGCGAUCAAAAGGAGGAAGAGGAGAUCCAUGGUUGGGGAUACAUUCAACGACCUAGGCAUCAUCCUCCCUGACGUCGUACUCGAAGCCCGCAGCCAUUGCCUUCUCAAUCUACGUUAGUCAGCAGCAGCAAGCAGAGAAUUAACAACAGUAGACCAAAGCAAAGGGGGGUCAGCCUGAAUGGGACGUAUCCCCUUCCAGAGGACUCGCCCUAGCUAGCCUGCAUGGUACCUUUCAUUAGCACUUCUCCCACAUUGUACGUGUUGUUCUCUGCAUGAUGUGUGGUGGAUGGGGAUGCGGAGGCGACGACUGGCGGCUGUUCUAUUUACACCUGACAUGGUUGAGAGGCUAGGGAGCAGGCGAUUUUGCACUCGUAUUUGGUCGGCAAUGGAGAUGAAUUUGUGAGAGAUGUGGCUGGGAGUUGCACCGGUCAUUUUUCUGCCCUCUCUAUGUUAUCCCUUUGCACUAAUCGGUAAUUGCUUUUUGACCAGGGGAUAGGGUAGCGUACACGAACAGCAAAAUUGUAGAAGACGAGGAGGACAAUCUGAGUGACCAACAUUAUGUGGAGUAUUGAGAUGCAGAUCCAUCUUCACCGACAGCACGCGCUUGUCUGUGACCUCCCACCAGCAGCGCCUUGAGGUCACCCACACAAGCGACCAAGCAAUUCCACGCUGUCACCCUCUGCUACUUCGCCAACGACAUCGAGGAGGUCGUGGGUGAGAGCUACUGUCCUCCCUGGAGAACAUGCUCGUGCCCCAUGCGUACGAAGAAGAGCUAAGACACUCGCAUGGGUGCUCAAGGAAAUAAACCAGAUUGAGCGAGAGUGUUACGCAAUUUAUCAACAAGAGCAAAGACUCUAAUCUGAUGAUGUAGGACAGCUUUAAUGUGACAGAGGAUCAUGGUGGUCGAUGGAUUGUGCACCCGGUAGUAGACUAAGAAAGGAACAUUAUUUAUGGAACACAAUGAUAUUCAGAGCAGCCCUGCACUAUGUGAGAUUUAGAAGUUGGUACUGCCGGCGGAUGCAUCCAUGUGCUAAUCUCCUGGCACCGCGUAGACGGAGCCAAACGAGUUGGGGCCUCCAGCCGGCUGGUAGUGGACAACAACACCGGGUUUGUUAAUUACUCAACAAGUCACAGAUUGAUCUCUUUUUUGAUUGGUUUGGUGUGGAUUAUCAGGCCUGCCGCGCAAUCAUAGAUUUAUCUUUUGAUUUAUGUGGGUGGACAGAAACACCUUUUCUAAAGUUUUCUAGGGAUUGUAAUGAAGCACAGUAACACACUCCAGCAUUCAUUCUUUGCUUGAUAUUAGCAAACAAUGUAAAAUAACCAAGCUCACAACAUUCUAAAGCGGUCUAUUAGCUACUUCAGCAGACAACAGACAGAAAGAAGUAAGCAGUAUUUGAUUUGCUCAUACCCGUGGAGGGAUCGAAUUCUGCCCAAAGUUUGUCGCAACACUUGUGGUCAGCGGCGAGGAUGAGCACCCACACCCGCUCCUUGUUGGUGGCCUCUGCAUCCUCCUCCCUCGAAGUGGGUCUAUGCGGGGAGUUGAUCUAGAAUAUCCUAUUGUUAGAUAUAACAAAUAGGUGACAAGAAAUAAACAAGAACUAUGUGGUACAAUAUAUGUGUCACACAGUAUACUUUGAAAAUGUGUAAUUUGAGAUUCUGAUAUAGAUGUAGGCCUGUAACACACCUUGAACAUGCACUAAAAAUUGUUGUUUACAGUCUGAUUUCUAAACCUGAUGAAAACCCCUAUUUAAAAAAGGAUUUAAUAGAAUUUGUAGUGAUUCUUUUGUCAGA